rnacentral:rRNA from 1 species
AUUGAACGCUGGCGGCAGGCUUAACACAUGCAAGUCGAGCGGUAACAGAGAGAAGCUUGCUUCUCUGCUGACGAGCGGCGGACGGGUGAGUAAUGCCUAGGAAUCUGCCUAGUAGUGGGGGAUAACUUGCCGAAAGGUAAGCUAAUACCGCAUACGUCCUACGGGAGAAAGGAGGGGACCUUCGGGCCUUUCGCUAUUAGAUGAGCCUAGGUCGGAUUAGUUAGUUGGUGAGGUAAUGGCUCACCAAGACCGCGAUCCGUAACUGGUCUGAGAGGAUGAUCAGUCAAACGGGAAAUGAGACACGGUCCAGACUCCUACGGGAGGCAGCAGUGGGGAAUAUUGGACAAUGGGGGGAACCCUGAUCCAGCCAUGCCGCGUGUGUGAAGAAGGUCUUAGGAUUGUAAAGCACCUUAAGUUGGGAGGAAGAGCAGUUAACUAAUAUUUGACUGUUUUGACGUUACCGACAGAAUAAGCACCGGCUAACUUCGUGCCAGCCGCCGCCGUAA